rnacentral:tRNA from 1 species
AGAAUAAUACUUUAAAAAAAAGAAUUAGCUUGCAUCUAAUUAUUAGGCCGAUAGGCGUUUAUUCUU